rnacentral:rRNA from 1 species
UACGUAGGGUGCGAGCGUUGUCCGGAAUUAUUGGGCGUAAAGAGCUUGUAGGCGGUUUGUCGCGUCUGCCGUGAAAAUUCGAGGCUCAACCCCGAGCCUGCAGUGGAUACGGGCAGACUAGAGGUAGGUAGGGGAGAAUGGAAUUCCCGGUGUAGCGGUGAAAUGCGCAGAUAUCGGGAGGAACACCGGUGGCGAAGGCGGAUCUCUGGGCCUUACCUGACGCUGAGGAGCGAAAGCGUGGGGAGCGAACAGG